GGUGAGGUGGCCGAGCGGUCUAAGGCGCACGCUUGGAAAGCGUGUAUACCGAAAGGUAUCGCGGGUUCGAAUCCCGCCCUCACCG
rnacentral:tRNA from 1 species